GUAGAGAAUUAUCAAUUAAAGGUACGCGAGCAAUUCUCUAC
rnacentral:sRNA from 1 species